rnacentral:rRNA from 1 species
AUUGAACGCUGGCGGCAGGCCUAACACAUGCAAGUCGAACGGUAACAGGAAGCAGCUUGCUGCUUUGCUGACGAGUGGCGGACGGGUGAGUAAUGUCUGGGAAACUGCCUGAUGGAGGGGGAUAACUACUGGAAACGGUAGCUAAUACCGCAUAACGUCGCAAGACCAAAGAGGGGGACCUUCGGGCCUCUUGCCAUCGGAUUUGCUCAGAUGGGAUUAGCUAGUAGGUGGGGUAACGGCUCACCUAGGCGACGAUCCCUAGCUGGUCUGAGAGGAUGACCAGCCACACUGGAACUGAGACACGGUCCAGACUCCUACGGGAGGCAGCAGUGGGGAAUAUUGCACAAUGGGCGCAAGCCUGAUGCAGCCAUGCCGCGUGUAUGAAGAAGGCCUUCGGGUUGUAAAGUACUUUCAGCGGGGAGGAAGGGAGUAAAGUUAAUACCUUUGCUCAUUGACGUUACCCGCAGAAGAAGCACCGGCUAACUCCGUG